GGACCGCCAUGGACAUAUAUGGUUCGUUCCACUAUGGCAUCAUCUCGUCUUUCACAGUUCAUUGGCUGUAGGGUGAGGUACGUGAUGAGUCAUGACUCGAGUAACCUCCGACCUCACAAAGUGCCGCGCGAAAGAAGUCCGGUAGCGAAGAAGAGAAGGAGAAGGAUAACUUUGCUAACAAACAUGCCGGAGGCACACAAACGAAUACGAAUCGACAACAUGAAUGUGGUAGAUCAUCUAUUGGAGCACAGAUUUGAGACCCUUAUUCUGGAGGAGAAUGUUUGAGUGCCUGCUGUCCUGGCAGGUCCUUGUGGGUGGAGGGCUGAAGAAUGGGAAACACCAAGCCAGGGCUACAAACAGCAUGGUGGGACACUUGACUAAGAUAGCCGGGAGCAGGCGGAGUCAACGUCUACAAAGAUCGCCACGACUGUGAAAAUAAAUAGAUGACGUCACGAACACUGGAAUCCAUCUGUGCCGCCCAGUUGAUCGCCGAGGACGAGGGCUUGGGUCGGCUGGCCCAAACGGUGCAAGUCUUGGUGGACCUUGCGCCGACUGCUGCCAGCCACCGCCGCGCUAGCAGACCGGAGCCGCUAGGGGCGGACAGGCUAAGCACUGCUCCAUCCUUCUCUUGAAAGUUAAAGAUGGAUUUCUAAAAACAGGCGUUUAGUUCGAUUUUUUUGGUUUUCAAGGAGGCCUAUAUAAAUUAUGGGAAGUGGAAGUCGAGCAACUUGUUUUAAAGUUGAUUCAUAGUUUUUUUUUGUUAGGAUCUUUAACUUUAAACAUUUUUUUACUCGUCAAACAUCUAAUUAUCAUGCAAUAGGCCUAUCUCACAAAAAUCGGAAAUGACGUCACACCGGGUAAACAUUCUUCCGGCAAAGUCAUUUCAGCUGUUGGCAUCAACACAAAAAUGCAGCGUUUCUUCGCCACUUCCCUGGUGGGUUUUCCAAAAUUACGAUUUGAAGAUGUGCAGAAGAUUGUGGAGUCACACUCAGCAACACCACAGUCCAGGCUGAGAAAGGGGUACAAGUUCUUUGUGGAGGAGUUCGUACACAAUUAUCAAGGUAAGUGGUCUAAGGUGUUUUGUUGUUGUCAGUAGGCUACUCAAUGGCCUUGCUCAUUCAUGUUUUGUGAUGACAAGCAAAC